rnacentral:rRNA from 1 species
AGAGUUUGAUUUGGCUCAGGAUGAACGCUAGCUACAGGCUUAACACAUGCAAGUCGAGGGGCAGCAUUGGAGUAGCAAUACUCAGAUGGCGACCGGCGCACGGGUGAGUAACACGUAUCCAACCUGCCGCUUACUCGGGGAUAGCCUUUCGAAAGAAAGAUUAAUACCCGAUGGUAUAAAGAGUUCGCAUGUUCUCUUUAUUAAAGAAUUUCGGUAAGCGAUGGGGAUGCGUUCCAUUAGAUAGUUGGCGGGGCAACGGCCCACCAAGUCUACGAUGGAUAGGGGUUCUGAGAGGAAGGUCCCCCACAUUGGAACUGAGACACGGUCCAAACUCCUACGGGAGGCAGCAGUGAGGAAUAUUGGUCAAUGGACGAGAGUCUGAACCAGCCAAAAGUAGCGUGAAGGAUGACUGCCCUAUGGGUUGUAAACUUCUUUUAUAAGGGAAUAAAGUGAGGGACGUGUCCCUUUUUGUAUGUACCUUAUGAAUAAGGAUCGGCUAACUCCGUGCCAGCCGCCGC